rnacentral:rRNA from 1 species
UACAGAGGUCUCGAGCGUUAGGCGGAAUCACUGGGCUUAAAGCGCGUGUAGGCGGAUCGUUAAGUACCUUGUGAAAUCCCACGGCUUAACCGUGGAACUGCUGGGUAUACUGGCGGACUUGAGCCACCUAGGGGCCUGCGGAACAAGCGGUGGAGCGGUGAAAUGCGUAGAUAUCGGAAGGAACGCCGGUGGCGAAAGCGACGUGCUGGACCUUUUCUGACGCUGAGGCGCGAAAGCCAGGGGAGCAAACGGG